rnacentral:rRNA from 3 species
UGUUUCGGCUAGGGGGCCAUCCCGGCUUACCAACCCGAUGCAAACUACGAAUACCGAAGAAUGUUAUCACGGGAGACACACGGCGGGUGCUAACGUCCGUCGUGAAGAGGGAAACAACCCAGACCGCCAGCUAAGGUCCCAAAGUCAUGGUUAAGUGGGAAACGAUGUGGGAAGGCACAGACAGCCAGGAUGUUGGCUUAGAAGCAGCCAUCAUUUAAAGAAAGCGUAAUAGCUCACUGGUCGAGUCGGCCUGCGCGGAAGAUGUAACGGGGCUAAACCAUGCAC